AUUGAACGCUGGCGGCAUGCUUUACACAUGCAAGUCGAACGGCAGCGCGGGCUUCGGCCUGGCGGCGAGUGGCGAACGGGUGUGUAAUACAUCGGAACGUGCCCAGUAGUGGGGGAUAGCUCGUCGAAAGCCGGAUUAAUACCGCAUACGACCUUAGGGUGAAAGCGGGGGAUCUUCGGACCUCUCGCUUUUUGUGCGGCCGAUGGCGGAUUAGCUAGUUGGUGGGGUAAAGGCCUACCAAGGCGACGAUCUGUAGCUGGUCUGAGAGGAGGACCAGCCAAACUGGAACUGAGACACGGCCCAGACGCCUACGGGAGGCAGCAGAGGGGAAUUUUGGACAAUGGGCGAAAGCCUGAUCAAGCAAGGCCGCGUGUGUGAUGAAGGCCUUCGGGUUGUAAAGCACUUUUGGCGGGAACGAAAAGGACUGUGCCAAUACCACGGUUCGAUGACGGUACCCGCAGAAUAAGCACCGGCUAACUACGUG
rnacentral:rRNA from 1 species